GAUGAACGCUGGCGGCGUGCCUAAUACAUGCAAGUCGAGCGAACAGAUAAGGAGCUUGCUCCUUUGACGUUAGCGGCGGACGGGUGAGUAACACGUGAAUAACCUACCUAUAAGACUGGGAUAACUUCGGGAAACCGGAGCUAAUACCGGAUAACAUAUUGAACCGCAUGGUUCAAUAGUGAAAGUCGGCUUUGCUGUCACUUAGAGAUGGAUCCGCGCCGUAUUAGCUAGUUGGUAAGGUAACGGCUUACCAAGGCAACGAUAGGUAGCCGACCUGAGAGGGUGAUCGGCCAGACUGGAACUGAGACAUGGUCCAGACUACUACGGGAGGAAGCAGUAGGGAAUCUUCCGCAAUGGGCGAAAGCCUGACGGAGCAACGCCGCGUGAGUGAUGAAGGUCUUCGGAUCGUAAAACUCUGUUAUCAGGGAAGAACAAAUGUGUAAGUAACUGUGCACAUCUUGACGGUACCUGAUCAGAAAGCCACGGCUAACUACGUGCCAGCCGCCGCCGUAA
rnacentral:rRNA from 1 species